rnacentral:lncRNA from 1 species
GUCCACACAUUCACAUUGAUCAACAAGGCUGGGAAAUCAACCUAUGUGAAGUUCCACUGGAAGCCCACAUGUGGUGUCAAGUCCUUGUUGGAAGAUGAGGCAGCACGAGUUGGAGGAGCAAAUCACAGCCACGCUACUCAGGACCUCUAUGACUCUAUUGCUGCUGGAAAUUAUCCUGAAUGGAAGCUCUUCAUUCAGACUAUGGAUCCAGAUCAUGAAGACAGAUUUGAUUUCGAUCCACUUGAUGUGACAAAAACUUGGCCAGAAGAUAUCUUGCCUUUGCAGCCGGUGGGAAGAUUAGUUCUGAACAAGAACAUUGAUAACUUCUUUAAUGAGAAUGAGCAGCUAGCUUUCUGCCCUUCUAUUGUGGUUCCAGGGGUUUAUUACUCAGAUGAUAAGAUGCUUCAAACUCGUAUUUUCUCCUACUCUGAUACCCAGAGGUAUCGACUUGGACCAAACUAUUUGCAACUUCCUGCUAAUGCUCCAAAGUGUGCUCAUCACAACAAUCACUACGAUGGCUCCAUGAAUUUUAUGCACAGGGAUGAGGAGGUACUUUCUCUCUCCUUCUAUAACAGUACAUAUCCAUAUUUGAUUGAGAUUUUGUGCUCAUCACAACAAUCACUAUGAUGGCUCUAUGAAUUUUAUGCACAGGGACGAGGAGGUACUUUCUAUCUCCUGUAACAGUACAUAUACAUGUUUGAUUGAGAUUUUGCUAAAGAGUUCAAGUUCUUACAAGUUAUAAAAUUGUUUUGCACCAUCAGGUUAAUGUUCUUUAUUUUUACCACGUAUAACAAUAAGGCACUACUUUUCAUAGCAAAGGUGAUGUAGUAACUUAGUUAAUGCAUGGUUAAUUACAGAUCGACUACUUCCCUUCAAGGUAUGAUCCUGUUCGCCAUGCUGAGAAGUAUCCAAUUCCUUCUACAAUGUGCACUGGAAAACGCGAGAAGGUUUGUUCCUUUCUACCUUUUAUCUAAUAAUGCUUGAAGCUGAACUAAAACUACAAAUUUUGAUCAGUGCAAAGUUGACACCCUGAAUCGAUCCAGUGGCCCAAACAACUUAAGUAGAUAUCCAGGAGAUGCUUAUUGUAUUGUCCUUAAUCCAACAAAAGACUUAUUUUAACUGUUGUUCUGCU